rnacentral:hammerhead_ribozyme from 1 species
AUUCGGCCGACGAGUCCAAAGUGGGACGAAAUGUGCGUCCUGGAU